AUUAAAAAAAGAUAAUUCCACACCGGCUGAAGAGAAAAGUAAAAUAAAACAGCACCAUGCUUCAGUCAGACUGACACACUACCACUGAAGUCAAAACGACAGCCAUGAUAUCCUCACAUCCUCUUCUUCUUCAUCUUCAUUGUCUCCCACUUUUAAAAGAGGAGGUUACAUAAUUCUUCAAACACUUCCUGUCUUUACCGACAGCACCGUGGCCUUUUAUCGGACACACGCACACACACUUGACAUAUUGAAGCAGACAGGCAGCCUGUUCAGACUGUCUGCAUCAUAGUCACUAUGACAACAACAGCAGAACCAUGCACAGAAAAACACUCAGGGGCGGGGGGGCAGAGGAGGUGGAGGGACUGUGUGAAAGAGAGGAAAAGGGAGAAAGAGAAAGACAGAGAGAGAGAGAGAGAGAGAGAAGGGAUGAAGUAAUGGGGAGCUCAUGUGUACACACCACUGUACUGCAGAUCAGACUACAUUGUACUGCUUUUUCUCUCUAACUCUACUUCCUGUAUUUUCACAACACUGUUUUUCCAAAUCAAAAUUCACUCACAGCAAACAUUACACAGACUCUGUCUCCCAGGACGUUAGAACUCACAUGAGUCAGCAAAUCCUAAGAGAGUAGAGUAGAGUAGAGUAGAGUACAUUAGAGUAGAGUACAGUAGAGUACAGUGGCCUUUAUUGUCAUUGCAAACCACAGCAGUCCAGUCCAACAAAAAGAGUGUGGCACCUUUAGUACAAACGGCCAAUAUGCUAAAUACUAGCACUUUUAGCUCAGUAUACCUCAAACAGGAAUUCAACAAACAGGAUGUGUUAGUCCAAGUGCAGUUUCAACAGUUGUGUAGCAAUGGACCAGUGAAAAGAGUGCAGUCAGGCAGCUAACUGAUGUACAGGGACAACGACGAAUCGGCAGCUGUAACUUUGAGGAAGCGCCAGGGCUGGGAGUCCACCCCCCUCCCCCUCCAACCCCUCCCACCAUGGCAGUGAUUUUUAUUUAAGUUUCUGUUAAGUUUUUUGUAUUUGCACCAAUAGUGUCUAAUUCAUGGCUGCAUUUAUUAUAUGCACAUACCAACAUUUCUAGCUAGCAGUUAAACAAUAUGAUGUCAGGUUUGUGUAAAUUUGGGAAGAUGUUAACCAGGCAAUUCUCAAUUUUUUUUAAGUCUUUGAACUCAUCACUGAUUUCUGUCAUUUUAAAGCUAAAGCUUUGAAUCUGAUGAUGCCUUCAACAGACCAUUAACAGAUCUACAGAAUAUGGAAGACAUCUGUGUAUGAACAGAUUCUGACCACAAACCAUUCCUACCCAGCCUGUUGAGACAUAAGCUAACUUGUUGUGCACAUACAUAAGUGAAUCCAGUGACUGUCAUCACGACUUUCUAGUUUUUCUCUUUUAAAGCCCCCUUUAUUACCCAGCCCACUGCAGCCAGUCUUAUUGCAGGUCGUAAACAUUACAUAAACACCACUGCAUCACAAAGGUAAAGUAGUUUCGCAGUGAUGUCAUUACAGACAGCAUGGGAUGUCUACGCAAUGUUGUAUGAGCUGCAGUAACAGCACGACGAUGAUGUAUAAUUCAGGCUUCAUCCAGAGAGAAACCUGAGGCCAGGAUCCAAGAGAAGAGAAAGAGAACCAGCAGUAAAUAUCAUCUGGAUCCUUUACUCUAUACCUGCUCAUUAUGAUAGUUAGGGUUAAUGGGAUUCAUAACCAGACCAAGUGUGACUGAACAGUGUAUUAGAGAGGCAAGGGCUCAAUGUGAAAAGGUACAAACCAGGAAGGAGUGAUGGUUGUUACUUUAGCUCAUGUGUUGUACUGGUGUUACCUGACACUGCUAAAGUAAACACAGAGUACCAAACCCUGAUGUCAUCAAACUGUCAUCAAACUUAACAUGUUGACAAAACAGCUGUUGACAAACCAUAUCCUGUAGUACAGGUUGACCAACACACACAAUCUAAAACAAGCAUUUAACUACUUGAUUUAGAGAAAACAUUUGACCACAACCAACUGACUAUAAGCUAAUAUGACAACUGUUAACCACUGUUUGUUAAUUUACACUUAGCCUAAAAAGGAAGAAAUACUUUGUGGAUGAAGUACUCUGCCUUCCUGAGACCAUUCAUUCAUAGGUCUUCUACUGUUUAAUCCUUUUCAAGGUUGCUAGUUGAGCGGGAGCCAAUCCCAGGCUACAGCCCUGACAGUCCAUCACAGGGUCACAUUCAGAGACAAACAACCAAUCACACUCACACUCACAUCACUGGCCAACUUAGAGUGAACCAUAAUUUACCCCUGCAUGUUUUUGGACUGUGGGUGGAAAUUGGUAUAUCUGUGUGUUCACUAAUCAGUGUUCACUAAGAGCCAAUGUAAACUGGGAACCAAUGGCGUGACAAAUAUAUUCUCUGCUACAAUCAUUUGAAAACUCAGUGGCUCCUUAACUGUCAGCAAGUCAGAAUAAGACAGAGUGUGAGUUCUUACAGAAUUCAGAUAAGAAUAAUCACAGCUCUCUCCAGGCUGCUGUGCAGAUACUGAACAUCUUUGAUUAGUUACUGGAGAACUUCAGUUUAGCCGUCUGCUUAACAAAGAAUCUUUGGGGAAAAUGCAUCUUUGCCUGAGCUCUGGCCGGUGACUUCCUGAUAAACUAAAGAACAGUUUGUGACAUCAGAGAGCCGGCUGAAACAUCUGCAGAUCUUGUCUCCUCUGCUGAGACCACAGUCACCACAAGAGGAGGCUGAGAGAGUAAAAAAGAGGAAGCAGAAAGUGGGAGGGUUGACGAUGCCAGCCUCUGCUAAACAUGACAGGUAGCAACUGAACCUAGGCAAGGGGUGUCAAAGGUGGCAUUGCAGAGAAAACUCCCAGAAACGAACCUAAGUGGUGUCGAGUCGUGGUAACUAAACUGCAGACAUUGCAGGGAGAAACACUGAUGUGACACAAGGUAAUUUGUCCUGGCUUCAGAUCCAGAAUGAAUCUAAAACUUUUAAUCUGCACUUCCACCACUUGUCCACACGCAUGAUUUUUGUGGAGCUACUGACACACAAUAACAUUUUAAGCAUCUCCACUGGAGUCAACAAUGGUCACUAUUUUCCAAGGGAAUGUACUUAAGCAACCGCCAAUGCUGUUCGUUUACAUUCUGCACAUUCCUUCUGACAACAUUCUAUCAAAUAUAUUGUUAAAAACCCAGGACGUCAGGCUGACGCAACACAAGACAUUCCACAGUGAGGCUGGUGACUGUGGUGUACACUACUGUAAAUCAAUAACAAAAUGGACAAGGGGUUUUUUUUUUGGACUGCUCUCUCCCAGUCUUUAUGACACUCUGCUGUUUCUGGUGACGAUAAAGACUUAGCAUUAGCAUUAGGAGCAUUUUGAAUAUUGAAUAACUAUAUUUAAAAUACUGUUAAACACAUUUUCUGUAAAGUAGUAGUUUGAAAACAUCAAUAAGAGGAACUAAACCUUGACUUCUCACUGGAAUCUGGUUGUCACCAAGUGAGAUUCAGUUCCUAACAGCUAAAUUUGUAGCCAGAGAACCUGUUUGAGUUAGCCGAAAAGAGCUUCAAAUUAGUCUAAACAUGUCCCAGCCGUGUCCAAAAAAAAAAAAAAAAAAGA